rnacentral:rRNA from 1 species
UACGGAGGGUGCAAGCGUUAUCCGGAUUCACUGGGUUUAAAGGGUGCGUAGGCGGGCUGUUAAGUCAGUGGUGAAAUCUCAGAGCUUAACUCUGAAACUGCCAUUGAUACUAUCAGUCUUGAAUGUUCUGGAGGUGAGCGGAAUAUGUCAUGUAGCGGUGAAAUGCUUAGAUAUGACAUAGAACACCAAUUGCGUAGGCAGCUCACUACGGAAAUAUUGACGCUGAGGCACGAAAGCGUGAGGAUCAAACAGG